rnacentral:rRNA from 1 species
GACGAACGCUGGCGGCGUGCCUAACACAUGCAAGUCGAGCGAAUGAAGUUCCUUCGGGAAUGGAUUUAGCGGCGGACGGGUGAGUAACACGUGGGCAACCUGCCUCAUAGAGGGGAAUAGCCUCCCGAAAGGGAGAUUAAUACCGCAUAAGAUUGUAGUACCGCAUGAUACAGCAAUUAAAGGAGCAAUCCGCUAUGAGAUGGGCCCGCGGCGCAUUAGCUAGUUGGUGAGGUAAUGGCUCACCAAGGCGACGAUGCGUAGCCGACCUGAGAGGGUGAUCGGCAACAUUGGGACUGAGACACGGCCCAGACUCCUACGGGAGGCAGCAGUGGGGAAUAUUGCACAAUGGGGGAAACCCUGAUGCAGCAACGCCGCGUGAGUGAUGACGGCCUUCGGGUUGUAAAGCUCUGUCUUCAGGGACGAUAAUGACGGUACCUGAGGAGGAAGCCACGGCUAACUACGUG